rnacentral:rRNA from 1 species
AUUGAACGCUGGCGGCAGGCCUAACACAUGCAAGUCGAGAGGAGCGGCGGACGGGUGAGUAAUGCCUAGGAAUCUGCCUGGUAGUGGGGGAUAACGUCCGGAAACGGGCGCUAAUACCGCAUACUAUCAGAUGAGCCUAGGUCGGAUUAGCUAGUUGGUGGGGUAAAGGCCUACCAAGGCGACGAUCCGUAACUGGUCGGAGAGGAUGAUCAGUCACACAGGAGCUGAGAAAGGGUCCAGACUCAUACGGGAGGCAGCUGUGGGGAAUAUUGGACAAUGGGCGAAGGCCUGGUCCAGCAAUGCCGCGUGUGUGAAGAGGGUCUUCGGAUUGUAGGACACUGUGAUUUGGGAGGCGUUACCAACAGAAUAAGAACCGGGUAGCGCCGAGCCAGCAGCCGCGGUAAUUC